ACCCACAUUACCGCCCACUUCUGCCAUGGCCACAGUUCCUGAAACUAUUUUCCUACAAAAAUAGCACUGUGCAGAGGGACCCCCUGGACUACCCUGAACAUCGCAGAGGAGAACCACUGGAGGAGACAGUGUCGCUGGUGCCCCGAAUACUGCAGCCCAUCGUUGGAAGGUAUUCAUUAUUUUACCAUGGAGUCUAUAUGAAAGGUUGACCGUCACCAUCUGGACCAAUACACCUGGUGUAUGCUGCAUUGCCAUUGUGUGAUUACCAUCAAGCUGAUAUUAACCCUUCGUUUCAACAGAAAAUGCUAAAACGAAAGCUUUGAGAAGUGCUGCAUGGUAAAUGUGCCCACCUGUCUUUACUACGAAUAAAAAGAUUGAACUUCAUGCUUUUCACCACCUUCACUUAUUAUGUAAGUCCUUGGAACUGAAUAGAUGUGUAUUGAAUCCAAUAUAUGACAAUGGCGAACUGCAUUAAUGAAAGAUUGUA